rnacentral:hammerhead_ribozyme from 1 species
AUCUAGUUGACGAGUCUCGAACAGGACGAAAUCAGCAUCCUAGAU